AUUGAACGCUGGCGGCAUGCUUUACAUAUGCAAGUCGAAUGGUAACAGGCCGCAAGGUGCUGACGAGUGGCGAACGGGUGAGUAAUGCAUCGGAACGUGCCCAGUCGUGGGGGAUAACGCAGCGAAAGCUGCGCUAAUACCGCAUACGAUCUAUGGAUGAAAGCGGGGGACCGUAAGGCCUCGCGCGAUUGGAGCGGCCGAUGUCAGAUUAGGUAGUUGGUGGGGGAAAGGCUCACCAAGCCAACGAUCUGUAGCUGGUCUGAGAGGACGACCGGCCACACUGGGACUGAGACACGGCCCAGACUCCUACGGGAGGCAGCAGUGGGGAAUCUUGGACAAUGGGCGCAAGCCUGAUCCAGCAAUGCCGCGUGCAGGAAGAAGGCCUUCGGGUUGUAAACUGCUUUUGUACGGAACGAAACGGUCCUGGUUAAUACCUGGGGCUAAUGACGGUACCGUAAGAAUAAGCACCGGCUAACUACGUGCCAGCAGCCGCCGUAAAAC
rnacentral:rRNA from 1 species